rnacentral:rRNA from 2 species
UUUGCAUAUCAAUAAGCGGAGGGAAAAGAAACCAACAGGGAUUGCCCCAGUAACGGCGAGUGAAGCGGCACCAGCUCAAAUUUGAAAUCUGGCCUCCGGGUCCGAGUUGUAAUUUGUAGAGGAUGCUUUUGGCGAGGUGCCUUCCGAGUUCCCUGGAACGGGACCCCAUAGAGGGUGAGAGCCCCGUCUGGUCGGACACCGAGCCUCUGUAAAGCUCCUUCGACGAGUCGAGUAGUUUGGGAAUGCUGCUCAAAAUGGGAGGUAUAUGUCUUCUAAAGCUAAAUAUUGGCCAGAGACCGAUAGCGCACAAGUAGAGUGAUCGAAAGAUGAAAAGCACUUUGAAAAGAGGGUUAAAAAGUACGUGAAAUUGUUGAAAGGGAAGCGCCUAUGACCAGACUUGGGCCCGGUGAAUCAUCCAGCGUUCUCGCUGGUGCACUUUGCCGGGCACAGGCCAGCAUCAGUUUGGCGCGGGGGAAAAAGGUUUUGGGAAUGGGCUCCUUGGGAGUGUUAUAGCCCAUUGCGUAAUCCCCUGCGCCGUGUCCCUACGCGCUCGCAAGGAUGCGGCGAGUUUCCACGUGGGCGU